GUGAUGAGAUGUUUUCAACAGCAUCGCUUCUUCUUCUUACACGAGGUGAGAGGAGAUGCCGGACUCCCCAGUCUUCCCGGUCAAAGACAAGAAAGUGAAGAAAGGUCUGUCAGAAGCAGCUGAAGCUGGAGUCGAUGCACAUGUAAUUAU